AACGAACGCUGGCGGCAGGCUUAACACAUGCAAGUCGAACGCCCCGCAAGGGGAGUGGCAGACGGGUGAGUAACGCGUGGGAACGUACCUUUCAGUUCGGAAUAACUCAGGGAAACUUGUGCUAAUACCGGAUACGCCCGCAAGGGGAAAGAUUUAUCGCUGAAAGAUCGGCCCGCGUUGGAUUAGCCAGUUGGUGGGGUAAAGGCCUACCAAGGCGACGAUCCAUAGCUGGUCUGAGAGGAUGAUCAGCCACACUGGGACUGAGACACGGCCCAGACUCCUACGGGAGGCAGCAGUGGGGAAUAUUGGACAAUGGGCGCAAGCCUGAUCCAGCCAUGCCGCGUGUGUGAUGAAGGCCUUAGGGUUGUAAAGCACUUUCACCGAUGAAGAUAAUGACGGUAGUCGGAGAAGAAGCCCCGGCUAACUACGUGCCAGCAGCCGCGGUAAAAGUCUCUAU
rnacentral:rRNA from 1 species